CGAGGGGAACGGACGGUCGCGCGCGCCGAAAGCGUGCGAGGAAAGUCCGGGCCGCACGGGGCAGGAUAACGGGUAACUCCCGCCGGAGGUGACUCCAGGACAAGCGCGACAGAAAAUAUACUAACGCCGGCAACGGCGCUACAGAUGUAACGGUGAGGCAAAAGCUCACCCGCGGAACGGUGAAACGUCUCCGUGCCGUAAGCUCUAUCCGCGGCAACUUUGGGCGCUUAUGAGCCGCCCCGCUCAGCGCCCUUUUAAGGCUUGAGCUGUUCGGCAACGAUCAGCCUAGAUAGAUGACCGUCAUAACAGAACCCGGCUUACUGUUCCCACUCGUAAU
rnacentral:RNase_P_RNA from 1 species